GUUUCAGAGGAUGUGCACACCUUUCACUUGCAUUACCAUUUCAUGUGCUCUCACAGCUCUCCAAGAAACAGCUUAGCAGGAGCUGAGUUCAAGGAGCCGAUGUGUUUUAAGUAGCUUUAUUAGGUGCAAAAGAGCACAAGAACAGGUGAUGGAGAGUGUCCUGCCUCAGGCCUGACGUGGCCUUGCAGAUCAAAGAAGUGGCCAUUUUUGAGCAUGAAGAAGAAUUCCAUAGCCCUGGGACACCACCUGUGCUUCAUCAGAAGAGACUCACAUCAGAAAGCAAUGGCAUUGCAAAGGACACAGCUUCCCUGGUGCAGAGGUGGAUUUUGAAGACUUCAGCACUGUACCUGUGACUAGACUAAUUUGCUCUGGGAUUUCUUUACUGCA